ACGAACGCUGGCGGCGUGCUUAACACAUGCAAGUCGAACGAUGAUGCCAGCUUGCUGGUGGAUUAGUGGCGAACGGGUGAGUAACACGUGAGCAACCUGCCCCUGACUUCGGGAUAACCGCGGGAAACCGUGGCUAAUACCGGAUAUGACGCGCUAUCGCAUGGUGGUGUGUGGAAAGAUUUAUCGGUUGGGGAUGGGCUCGCGGCCUAUCAGCUUGUUGGUGGGGUGAUGGCCUACCAAGGCGACGACGGGUAGCCGGCCUGAGAGGGUGACCGGCCACACUGGGACUGAGACACGGCCCAGACUCCUACGGGAGGCAGCAGUGGGGAAGAUUGCACAAUGGGCGCAAGCCUGAUGCAGCGACGCCGCGCGAGGGAUGACGGCCUUCGGGUUGUAAACCUCUUUCAGUAGGGAAGAAGGCCUUCGGGUUGACGGUACCUGCAGAAGAAGCGCCGGCUAACUACGUG
rnacentral:rRNA from 1 species